CAGGCCUAACACAUGCAAGUCGAGCGGGGAAGGGUAGCUUGCUACAUUUCCUAGCGGCGGACGGGUGAGUAAUGCUUAGGAAUCUGCCUAUUAGUGGGGGACAACAUUCCGAAAGGAAUGCUAAUACCGCAUACGCCCUACGGGGGAAAGCAGGGGAUCUUCGGACCUUGCGCUAAUAGAUGAGCCUAAGUCAGAUUAGCUAGUUGGUGGGGUAAAGGCCUACCAAGGCGACGAUCUGUAGCGGGUCUGAGAGGAUGAUCCGCCACACUGGGACUGAGACACGGCCCAGACUCCUACGGGAGGCAGCAGUGGGGAAUAUUGGGCAAUGGACGAGAGUCUGACCCAGCCAUGCCGCGUGCAGGAAGAAGGCUUUCUGAGUCGUAAACUGCUUUUGAUAGGGAAGAAUAAGCCUUACGUGUAAGGUGAUGACGGUACCUACAGAAUAAGCACCGGCUAACUCCGUGCCAGCAGCCGCGGUAAU
rnacentral:rRNA from 1 species